rnacentral:lncRNA from 1 species
CAGAAUACAGAGUGGGCUUGUAGACUUCCGUGCCAAGUCCUGCAGCGCCUUGAGCUCCUUGGCUGCUUUGCUUUUGAGCACCUGGGGGUUAAUGGGGCCAGAGACGUGCACCACUCACAGCACCGUCUCAUCCAGCUGCGUCUUGGGAGCCACUUGGAGGCGGUUCACCAGCUUCUUGGCGGCCACCACCACCAGGUGCACCAACCCAGUGGGCGUAGGUGGGGACCGGCCUGAGUAGAGGAGGAACUGAUGGUCUCCGACCUUCUCCAGGGUACUGGUGAAGGCCUUGGGGGCUGGGCCGGCAGUGGGCCUCACAGUCUGCAGCGCGGCCGCGCGCUCCGUGGGGUUGUUGAGCUGGAUGCGCUGCAGGUAGACGUGGGGUCGGCCCCUGUGCGCCAGAAAGUCCUCUUGCAGCAGCACGCAGUCGCGGCCGGACCCCGCGGCAAGGCCAGAGACGGAGGCGGGCCCGGGGCCGGCGGCCACGGGGCCAGGACCUGGGGACCCCAGCUGCAGGCAACGCACGCGGCGCAGCAGCCCCUCCCGCAGCAGUAGCACCGCCUCUCCAGCUUCAGCCAGCGCGCUCAGCGGGCGCAGCUGCACGAAGGGCACAAAGUCCGGCGCCACUGCGGGCUCCCGCUCCCCGGGAGUCACCCACAGCCGAUUGGCAGCCAUGUCCAGGGCCAGGAAGCCGUUGGCCACCAGGGCCGGCACUCCAGGGCCCAGCGGUACCGCCUCGCCGCGCUCCCGCAGGCCGCGCCAGGCGCGGGUGGCCGCCUCCAGGCAGGCAGACGGCUCGGCGGCGCCCGGCUCACCGCGGGACCAGGGCAGCAGUAUAAAACUUUUGGCCAGUCCUGGUGGCUCACACCUGUAAUCCCAGCACUUUGAGAGGCCGAGGUGGGCGGAUCACCUGAGGUCAGGAGUUUGAGACAAGCCUGGCCAACCUUGUGAAACCCCGUCUCUACUAAAAGUACAAAAACCAGCCGGGCAUGGUGGCAUGUGCCUGUAAUCCCAGCUACUCAGGAGGCGGAGGCGUGAGAAUCACUUGAACCUGGGAGGUGNNNNNNNNNNAGCCUGGGCAACAAGGGAGCCAGCAGCUCCUGAAGGCUGGGGGCAGAGGGUUUUGAGGGGACCCGGGUUAGUGGGGCAUUGGCCUAGCCCUGGGCCGUGGGUAUCACUCAGUGUCUUGCAGUAGGUGUUGAUACUUUCGAAGCCACAUUGUUUCUUGGGUUCUUACACAUCUUUAUAUGACGUUUUUAUAACCAUCACCCUUUCCAAUCAAAAUAUUUAUUGCCAAUUUUUUCUUUCAAAUAUUUUCAAUUUUCAAACUGUGUAGUGCGUGCAUUGUUUUAAAAGUUUGGUAGUACUUUUUGGCCUUUUGAUAUUUAACUCCGUUUCUUUUUUUUUGAGACGGAGUCUCGCUUUGUCGCCCAGUCCGGAGUGCAGUGGCGCGAUCUCGGCUCACUGCAAGCUCUGCCUCCUGGGUUCACACCAUUCUCUUGCCUCAGCCUCCUGAGUAGCUGGGACUACAGGUGCCCGCCACCACGCCUGGCUAAUUUUUUUUUUGUAUUUUUAGUAGAGGCAGGGUUUCACCGUGUUAGCCAGGAUGGUCUUGAUCUCCUCACCUCAUGAUCUGCCCGCCUCAGCCUCCCAAAGUGCUGGGAUUACAAGCGUGAGCCACCUCGCCUGGCCCUAACUCCGUUUCUUUUUUUCUUUUUUUUUUUUUUUUUGAGACAGAGUCUCACUCUGUCGCCCAGGCUAGAGUGCAGUGGCACGAUCUUGGCUCACUGCAACCUCCACCUCCCGGGUUCAAGUGAUUCUCCUGCCUCAGCCUCCUGAGUAGCUGGGACUACAGUCACAUGCCACCACACCCGGCUAAUUUUUUGUAUUUUUAGUAGAGACAGGGUUUCACCAUGUUCACCAUGUUAGCCAGGGUGGUCUUGAUCUACUGACCUCAUGAUCCGCCUGCCUAGGCCUCCCAAAGUGCUGGGAUUACAGGCAUGAGCCACCGCGCCCAGCCCUUAAACUCCCUGUUUCUAAACAACAUGUU